rnacentral:rRNA from 1 species
UUUAAGUUUCAGCAUGCAGAUCCAUUUUCUGCCACCGAAUACAUUAGCAUGGGAUAAUGGAAUAGGACCCUGUCCUCCUAUUUUCAGUUGGUUUUGGCAGCGCGAGGACUAGGGUAAUGAUUAAUAGGGAUAGUUGGGGGCAUUAAUAUUUAAUUGUCAGAGGUGAAAUUCUUGGAUUUAUGAAAGAUUAACUUCUGCGAAAGCAUCUGCCAAGGAUGUUUUCAUUAAUCAAGAACGAAAGUUAGGGGAUCGAAGACGAUCAGAUACCGUCGUAGUCUUAACCAUAAACGAUGCCGACCAGCGAUUAGGAGACGUUGAAUACAAAACACCACCAUCGGUUGCGGUCGUCCUUGGCGUCUCGGUUUCGGCCGGGGCGCGGGGAUGGCUUAGCCCGGUGGCACCGGUGAAUGACUCCCCUAGCACUUUGGUGAGAA